rnacentral:rRNA from 1 species
CCUACGGGAGGCAGCAGUGAGGAAUAUUGGUCAAUGGGCGCGAGCCUGAACCAGCCAAGUCGCGUGAAGGAUGACUGCCCUACGGGUUGUAAACUUCUUUUAUAAAGGAAUAAAGUGAGUCACGUGUGCCUUUUUGUAUUUACUUUAUGAAUAAGGCUCGGCUAACUCCGUGCCAUCAGCCGCGGUAAUACGGAGGAUCCGAGCGUUAUCCGGAUUUAUUGGGUUUAAAGGGAGCGUAGAUGGGUUGUUAAGUCAGUUGUGAAAGUUUGCGGCUCAACCGUAAAAUUGCAAUUGAUACUGGCAGUCUUGAGUACAGUUGAGGUAGGCGGAAUUCGUGGUGUAGCGGUGAAAUGCUUAGAUAUCACGAAGAACUCCGAUUGCGAAGGCAGCUUACUAAACUGCAACUGACAUUGAUGCUCGAAAGUGUGGGUAUCAAACAGGAUUAGAUACCCCUGUAGUC